CCAAACCCUACGUGAACUUACCGUCGUUGCCUCGGCGGGCCGCGCUUACCCGGUAGCUACCCCGUAGCUACCCGGUAGGUGCGCUUAUAGGCCCGCCGGUGGACCACUAAACUCUGUUUUAAUACUGUAUCUCUGAAUGCUUCAACUUAAUAAGUUAAAACUUUCAACAACGGAUCUCUUGGUUCUGGCAUCGAUGAAGAACGCAGCGAAAUGCGAUAACUAAUGUGAAUUGCAGAAUUCAGUGAAUCAUCGAAUCUUUGAACGCACAUUGCGCCCAUUAGUAUUCUAGUGGGCAUGCCUAUUCGAGCGUCAUUUCAACCCUUAAGCCUAGCUGCUUAGUGUUGGGAAUCUGCCCCGUAGUUACGGGGCAGCUCCCUAAAGCCAUCGGCGGAGUUGGGGCAUACUCUAAGCGUAGUAACAUUCUUCUCGCUUCUGCAGUUGUCCUGGCGGCUUGCCGUUAAACCCCCCUAUAUUUUUCUAGUGGUUGACCUCGGAUUAGGUAGGAAUACCCGCUGAACUUAAGCAUAUCAAUAAGCGGAG
rnacentral:rRNA from 1 species